GAAAGUCUAUUUAUUAAUUAUAUCAAAUGAAAGGCGUAUCUGAAAUGUUAAGGACUGUUUGAAAGAGUCUGGAGGGGCCUUAGGGGGUCUGGGGGAAACAAGAUGUACAUUUUAACCACACCCCCAGUAGUCAACAGACAGUCGUAUACUGACAACAACACAUCAGUCUACUCUUUCACAAUGGUUGUGUUCACUGGCUUAAUGUUAUCAUUAUCAAAGUGGUGGAAACUUCUGUAUGCUUUCAAGAAGGUGAGUCUUUUUGCAAUCAUGUUUGGGCUGUGUGUGUGUUUAUUUUAAAGGAGACCUAUCAUACCAGCAGGUGAGAGUGUGAUUAGCCUUACAAGCCAUUUCGAAAAUCUUCCCCAUAUGACAUCACUAGUGGUUGUGUCCACCUAGAUCUGUGCUGGAUAGAUCAGUCUACCAGUCUACCCAGUGGACUGAAGUAAACGUUGCUCAUCUAUCCAGCACAGAUCUAGGUGGACACACCCACUAGAUUUUCGAAACGGCUUGUAAGGCUAAUCACACUCACAUCUGGUGGUAUAAUAUGUUUCCUUUAAGGAAGUAUGAAAAUAUGAGCUCAUGUGAGGACUAGUCUUGUGAUAAUAUAGCAAUGGAUGUAAAGCAUAUUUUAGGAAGUCUCUGGGACAGUGUUUAUAGUGCAAAGCAUAGGUAUAAAGAGAACUGAAAUAUCCUGUAGAUGUAGCCCACUGUUAGUUGCCUGAAAUUGUACUCAAGUAAAAGUAUUUGAGUUAAAGAAAUACUCAAGUAAAUGUCAAAAGUAGCUCCCUUAAAACUACUCACUAAGCUACUUGGUAACAUUUGCCAAGGUUACCUUCCACCUGCAUCCAAUGCAAUGAACUGAAAUGGAAAGAGUACUUUCAUUUAUGGUCUGGCAAAGGCAUCCGUAUGAAUGAAAGAAAAUGUAAAAUUACAUAUGCGGUUACAAUUAACACAUUGAUAAAUUGAAAAUAAAAUGUUCUCAGGCUCCCAAUAUAUCUGAAAUUAUAAACUCAAUCUCCUCCAACUGCCAUGCCUAAUGUGAAUCCGGUGGACAUAACAAGCUAUUUUGAAACAAUAUUAAUCUGAGGUAUGGUGUUAUGAAUGGUUAUGUGCCUAUCCAAAUUUGUCAAGAAGCAUUUUGCUCUGCACCUGUUGAUAAUGCCCCUUGGAAAUUAAACCUCUGGAGAGGUUCCAGACUUUAACGUCUACCAAUGACAGGCUAUUGGGAGGAGGAAUUAAAAGAGGAAUUCAAAAAGUCUGAGAUGGGAUUGCGGACGUGUGGUGAGGUUAGGAACAAGCCCCUUGGCAUUGAAAGGUAAACAGCAUUCAUGUUGGCUUAAGCAAACAGGGCCGGUUGUUUGAAAAGUCGUUUUUUUCUGCCCCAAUAGAAAAGUAAUAGUGGACAGUAUUUUACAUCUGCAAACUCAUUAAUAAUCCUCCUCCUCUCUGUCUCUCACCAGAGCACUCUUCACCUCAGGAGCACUGUUCGUGGCCUUCUCAAGUCCAGCUCUCUCCGUUCUCCUUUACCCCGCCCUACCCUGCUGGCCCUGGGGGGCAACAUGUUACUGAUUACCAAUCUGCAGAUAGGCAGCCUGUUUGGAUCCCAGCGGUCCACCGUCAUGACGCUCUGCAACGGGGCCUUCGACUCAUCGGCGGUCCUCUUCCUCGUCAUCAAG